rnacentral:rRNA from 1 species
CCUACGGGGGGCAGCAGUGGGGAAUAUUGCGCAAUGGGCGAAAGCCUGACGCAGCGACGCCGCGGGAGGGAUGAAGGUCUUCGGAUCGUAAACCUCUGUCAGCAGGGAAGAACGGUCACUGUGCUAAUCAGCAGUGAAUUGACGGUACCUGCAAAGGAAGCACCGGCUAACUCCGUGCCAGCAGCCGCGGUAAUACGGAGGGUGCGAGCGUUAAUCGGAAUUACUGGGCGUAAAGCGCUCGUAGGCGGCAUGUCAAGUCAAGGGGGAAAUCCCCGCGCUCAACGUGGGAACUGCCUUUGAAACUGGCAAACUGGAGUGUGUGAGAGGAUAGUGGAAUUCCAGGUGUAGGAGUGAAAUCCGUAGAUAUCUGGAGGAACAUCAGUGGCGAAGGCGACUAUCUGGCACAUAACUGACGCUGAGGAGCGAAAGCGUGGGUAGCAAACAGGAUUAGAUACCCCAGUAGUC